rnacentral:rRNA from 1 species
UACGUAGGGUCCAAGCGUUAUCCGGAAUCACUGGGCGUAAAGCGUGCGUAGGCGGAUGUUUAAGUGCAAUGCGAAAUCCUGUGGCUCAACCAUAUGGACUGUAUUGCAUACUGGAUAUCUGGAGGAAUGCAGAGGCAAGUGGAAUUACCGGUGUAGCAGUGAAAUGCGUAGAUAUCGGUAGGAACACCAAUGGCGAAGGCAGCUUGCUGGGCAUUUUCUGACGCUAAGGCACGAAAGCGUGGGGAGCGAACAGG